AAUCUUUAUUUAAAGUGUAGUUAUAUUUAUCCAAUGCAUUGAAACUUCAUCACUGAAUACGUACAUCUCGCAUGUCUAUCGAAAUAGAAUGGGAUAAAAGGGAAUAAAAACAACAAUACUUUCUAAUAUUUUUUAUAAAUCACUUCUUGACCAAUUUCAAUAAGGUUUUGAAGUAAGAUUUUUGAUUUUGGGUCCGGUUUUUAAAUUCCCACAGGGUCCAAAAUAACAUUUGAGGUUCUUUGGUAGGCUGAAUCCAUACAUGAUUGUGUUUAUUGUUAUUUUUUUAAUUUUUGGCCCAUUUAACAAGUUUGUGGGGUCCAAACUGUCAAGAAAUAAAUUCUUUUGGAUUUCAACAACAGUUGAAUAUUUGGGGUACUUUGGAAUGCUGAAUCUUACCGUGUUUUUAAAUUUGGGAUUUUGGUAUUUGGGCCAAGUUAUCGAAAUGGUCCACAUUGAGGC
rnacentral:lncRNA from 1 species